rnacentral:rRNA from 1 species
UACGGGGGGGGCAAGCGUUGUUCGGAAUUACUGGGCGUAAAGGGUUCGUAGGUGGCUUGUUAAGUCAGACGUGAAAUCCCUCAGCUUAACUGGGGAACUGCGUCUGAGACUGGUGAGCUUGAGUGCAGGAGAGGAACGCGGAAUUCCAGGUGUAGCGGUGAAAUGCGUAGAUAUCAGGAGGAACACCGGUGGCGAAGGCGCCACUCUGGGCCGAAACUGACGCUGAGGAGCGAAAGCGUGGGUAGCAAACAGG